AGAGUUUGAUCAUGGCUCAGAUUGAACGCUGGCGGCAGGCCUAACACAUGCAAGUCGAACGGUAACAGAAAGCAGCUUGCUGCUUUGCUGACGAGUGGCGGACGGGUGAGUAAUGUCUGGGAAACUGCCCGAUGGAGGGGGAUAACUACUGGAAACGGUAGCUAAUACCGCAUAACGUCGCAAGACCAAAGAGGGGGACCUUAGGGCCUCUUGCCAUCGGAUGUGCCCAGAUGGGAUUAGCUAGUAGGUGGGGUAACGGCUCACCUAGGCGACGAUCCCUAGCUGGUCUGAGAGGAUGACCAGCCACACUGGAACUGAGACACGGUCCAGACUCCUACGGGAGGCAGCAGUGGGGAAUAUUGCACAAUGGGCGCAAGCCUGAUGCAGCCAUGCCGCGUGUAUGAAGAAGGCCUUCGGGUUGUAAAGUACUUUCAGCGGGGAGGAAGGGAGUAAAGUUAAUACCUUUGCUCAUUGACGUUACCCGCAGAAGAAGCACCGGCUAACUCCGUGCCAGCAGCCGCGGUAAUACGGAGGGUGCAAGCGUUAAUCGGAAUUACUGGGCGUAAAGCGCACGCAGGCGGUUUGUUAAGUCAGAUGUGAAAUCCCCGGGCUCAACCUGGGAACUGCAUCUGAUACUGGCAAGCUUGAGUCUCGUAGAGGGGGGUAGAAUUCCAGGUGUAGCGGUGAAAUGCGUAGAGAUCUGGAGGAAUACCGGUGGCGAAGGCGGCCCCCUGGACGAAGACUGACGCUCAGGUGCGAAAGCGUGGGGAGCAAACAGGAUUAGAUACCCUGGUAGUCCACGCCGUAAACGAUGUCGACUUGGAGGUUGUGCCCUUGAGGCGUGGCUUCCGGAGCUAACGCGUUAAGUCGACCGCCUGGGGAGUACGGCCGCAAGGUUAAAACUCAAAUGAAUUGACGGGGGCCCGCACAAGCGGUGGAGCAUGUGGUUUAAUUCGAUGCAACGCGAAGAACCUUACCUGGUCUUGACAUCCACGGAAGUUUUCAGAGAUGAGAAUGUGCCUUCGGGAACCGUGAGACAGGUGCUGCAUGGCUGUCGUCAGCUCGUGUUGUGAAAUGUUGGGUUAAGUCCCGCAACGAGCGCAACCCUUAUCCUUUGUUGCCAGCGGUCCGGCCGGGAACUCAAAGGAGACUGCCAGUGAUAAACUGGAGGAAGGUGGGGAUGACGUCAAGUCAUCAUGGCCCUUACGACCAGGGCUACACACGUGCUACAAUGGCGCAUACAAAGAGAAGCGACCUCGCGAGAGCAAGCGGACCUCAUAAAGUGCGUCGUAGUCCGGAUUGGAGUCUGCAACUCGACUCCAUGAAGUCGGAAUCGCUAGUAAUCGUGGAUCAGAAUGCCACGGUGAAUACGUUCCCGGGCCUUGUACACACCGCCCGUCACACCAUGGGAGUGGGUUGCAAAAAGAAGUAGGUAGCUUAACCUUCGGGAGGGCGCUUACCACUUUGUGAUUCAUGACUGGGGUGAAGUCGUAACAAGGUAACCGUAGGGGAACCUGCGGUUGGAUCACCU
rnacentral:rRNA from 1 species